rnacentral:miRNA from 1 species
AGAAUAGAUGUGAUUUGU